CGUAGGGUGCAAGCGUUAAUCGGAAUUACUGGGCGUAAAGCGUGCGCAGGCGGUUGUGCAAGACAGAUGUGAAAUCCCCGGGCUCAACCUGGGAACUGCAUUUGUGACUGCACAGCUUGAGUGCGGCAGAGGGGGAUGGAAUUCCGCGUGUAGCAGUGAAAUGCGUAGAUAUGCGGAGGAACACCGAUGGCGAAGGCAAUCCCCUGGGCCUGCACUGACGCUCAUGCACGAAAGCGUGGGGAGCAAACAGG
rnacentral:rRNA from 1 species